AUGCACUGAUAACAGUAGGAGGUAUCAACUGAAAUAACUAGAGCUUUAUUGGAUAAGUAGAAUAAGACAUAAUGGCAAUGGGUAUUUUUGGGUAUUCCCUCCCAGUGUAGGAGUAGAACAUUUUCUAAGUAGAUGUGGAAUGUGUGUGGGUGAUGAAUAGAGGAAUGCGUACUCCUAGGGUAGAAGCAGCAUAAGUGUGUGUCUCUAGGAUAGAAAUAGCAUAGAGUGUAGUGCGUAUAUGUGGGUGGUACUUCCAGGAACAGAAGUAGCACAUAGUGUAUAUGGUGGAUGUAAGUGCUCACAUACUUCUAAGGACAGAAGUAGCUAAGAUCAAUGGAUGGAGAGCUCAUAAUAUUGACUUUAACUACAUGACUAGUUCCUUAGGGUCUACACAG
rnacentral:lncRNA from 1 species